rnacentral:rRNA from 1 species
GAUGAACGCUGGCGGCGUGCCUAAUACAUGCAAGUCGAACGCAUUGAGAGAAGUGCUUGCACUUUUCAAUUUGAGAGGCGAACGGGUGAGUAACACGUGGGCAACCUACCUGAUAGCGGGGGAUAACGAGUGGAAACAUUCGCUAAUACCGCAUAACAAUAGAGAAGGCAUCUUCUUUAUUUAAAAGGCGCUUUCAAGCGUCACUAUCAGAUGGGCCCGCGGUGCAUUAGUUAGUUGGUGGGGUGAAGGCCUACCAAGACGAUGAUGCAUAGCCGAGUUGAGAGACUGAUCGGCCCCAUUGGGACUGAGACACGGCCCAAACUCCUACGGGAGGCUGCAGUAGGGAAUCUUCCACAAUGGACGAAAGUCUGAUGGAGCAACGCCGCGUGUGUGAUGAAGGCUUUCGGGUCGUAAAGCACUGUUGUAUGGGAAGAAAUGCUAGGCUAGGAAAUGAGCUUAGUUUGACGGUACCAUACCAGAAAGGGACGGCUAAAUACGUGCCAGCCGCCGCAGUAA